AGGAUGAACGCUGGCGGCGUGCUUAACACAUGCAAGUCGAACGAUGAAGGCUGGAGCUUGCUCUGGCUGGAUUAGUGGCGAACGGGUGAGUAACACGUGAGUAACCUGCCCCAGACUCUGGGAUAAGCGCUGGAAACGGCGUCUAAUACCGGAUACGAGCUUCCACCGCAUGGUGAGGAGCUGGAAAGAAUUUCGGUCUGGGAUGGACUCGCGGCCUAUCAGCUUGUGGUGAGGUAAUGGCUCACCAAGGCGACGACGGGUA
rnacentral:rRNA from 1 species